rnacentral:rRNA from 1 species
AUUGAGCGCUGGCGGCAGGCCUAACACAUGCAAGUCGAGCGGCAGCGGAAAGUAGCUUGCUACUUUGCCGGCGAGCGGCGGACGGGUGAGUAAUGUCUGGGAAACUGCCUGAUGGAGGGGGAUAACUACUGGAAACGGUAGCUAAUACCGCAUAACGUCGCAAGACCAAAGAGGGGGACCUUCGGGCCUCUUGCCAUCAGAUGUGCCCAGAUGGGAUCAGCUAGUAGGUGGGGUAAUGGCUCACCUAGGCGACGAUCCCUAGCUGGUCUGAGAGGAUGACCAGCCACACUGGAACUGAGACACGGUCCAGACUCCUACGGGAGGCAGCAGUGGGGAAUAUUGCACAAUGGGCGCAAGCCUGAUGCAGCCAUGCCGCGUGUAUGAAGAAGGCCUUCGGGUUGUAAAGUACUUUCAGCGGGGAGGAAGGUGUUGAGGUUAAUAACCUCAGCAAUUGACGUUACCCGCAGAAGAAGCACCGGCUAACUCCGUGCCAGCCGCCGCCGUAA